UGUCGAUGAAGAGUGCAGUCAACUGUGUGAAUUAAUGUGACCUGCAUACUGCUUUGAACAUCGACCUCUUGAACGCACAUUGCGGCCACGGGUUAGCCCGUGGCCACGCCUGUCCGAGGGUCGGCU
rnacentral:rRNA from 1 species